CAGAGGAGUAAGGGGAACUUGAAGCUAUUCCCCAACAAUAGUUCCAUUUCAUCUCAGAAGGGCAUAAAAAACUCCAUACUAAGCUGCUUGAACAGCCCUUAUAUAUAAAUAUAUACAUUCAGAGUAAGAGGAGCAUGUACCUUACCCUAAAGGACAAAGUAGAUCAUAUUCCUCAUCGGAAUUCAUUUAUUUCCAUUCCCUACCAUGUCAGCAGUAGCUUUUAAAAAUUAUUUUUACAUGACUGCAUCUUCUCUCUUUAAACAUAUGAUUUCCACUGUCAAAUGGGAAAGGUGACUGAAAUAACACAGGCUUACUCUCAUGGUUAUUAUGCUGUUUUUCAUGGUUGAAAGUAUUGUAAUGUUCAAGGGAGCAAUUAAAAUUGUUCCGCUGUGUAGUAAUAAAGAAUAUGAUUCUCAAUGCAAGUAUCAGCCAAGGAGGUUUUACAAACUAAGAGAAUACUGAAUGUUUUGGUUUUAAUAUGCUAUGCAGAUAUUUACUCUAAAAAUAAUAAACUUUAUUAUAGUUUGAAAUUCUAGCAAAGAAAGUUAAAAUAAUUUAAGCUUAGGAGGCAAAACGUUUUAGCAAUAUGAUUAAAAUCUAUAUAUAUAAAUGAUGUUGUUUUACAACUGAUAAGCAUUUUCUUUCAGGAAUAUUUAAAUUUUAUCUCCCAUACCAUAAAAAAUAUUUGGUUUCAGUGGCUUCACCAACCUCUUCAACACUGCAUUUUUCUAUUUAGAGAAACAAAUUUAAUCCUACUUCUCCUAUUAUAUAUUAAUGUUCGAAAAUAUCGAACCCAUGAGAGUUUUAUUUCUAGAAUUCAAUUUCAGUACUUGAACAGCACAGAUUCAAAGGCUUAUAGAAAUAACAUGUGAAAGCAUUUUGAUGAAACAUAACUGCUUUAGGUUCUCCCUUCAGUCCCUUCAUGACACACUUAACAGUGUUUCUUACACUUUCAGAGACAUCUGGUCUCCUAAGGAAAAUAUAGACAAAAACGGUAAAAAUAAAGAAUUUUGACAGGUAUCAAAGAAAAGUGCAGCAACACUGACACACGACAAAUGGUACCUCUUUACCAUGUACAAAUUCUUUUGCAAGAACCAUGGUUAGAGGUUAAUGUAACUUCUAAGACCAUCCUUUCCUCCUCACCUUUUAAUUACUCCCAAGCUCUCAAUUUUAUGCAACUGCUAAGCAAACUGCUCUCCAGCUUGGCAUUAUGUGCACACCUGAGACCAGGUAUUCCAGAAAACUACUCUGGGCAGAGCCAGCAGGGCUGCAAAAGGAGCAGCCUUUCAGAAUUCUUUAUUCUGAACACACAACUCGUAUACAUUAAACCCCAAACUUUUUCUAAGUGCAAUGUCAAUGGGAUGAAAGAUGUCAGUGGACAGAGAUAACAGGGAAGUUAAGGAUACACCAAGAGCUGCAGUGGCAUUAAAUGCUGUAGUGUGGUUGAAUUGCAUCAUAUUUCUCCAGUAUGACUCUUUCAGUCUCCUGUUUUACAUUUAUGUUGCAACAGAUUAUAGUUAACAAGUUAUAGUUUCUUGUCCAUAAAACUAGAAACAUACUAAGAAAACUGCUAGUCAGAGUCAACAUAAAAUCUACACAGGCUACCCUGGAACCACAGAGUCAAAUAACUCACAUGUUACAUUUUGUUCUGAAGAGAUGAAGCAGCACUUUACGGAGUUAUUUACUUUAAUUAAAUCCUCCACCAUUCUAAUUUUGUCAGUUUUAUAAAAGUAAUUCUGUUCUUCGAUAUAACUGUGUCUCAGAAGGAGCAGAGUGGGCACAGAGCACACUGACACUGUGAUCCUGGAUCCUUUCUCUUGUGGUAGAUAUUCCUUCAGCAAGGCACUCAGCAUAUGCCUUCAUAUAAAUAAACAAGUCCUCUAACAUAUGCUGUACAUCUAUACAGUUAAUCUAUGCAUGCUCCUCAAGGCAUCCCAGCCUAGGGCUGGCAGAGGGAUCCAAAUCUCAGGCACUUCCACAGAACUGUACAUGAACUGCUCUCUCCCACUUUGGUGAUGGAGAAAAGAAGGGCACAGCCCAAGGAAUGCUUUGCUCUCUUGUCUAUAAAUUUGUGGAGCAAGAACCCCUUGCAGUGAGUGAGCAUUGAAAUAUGCAAAGGGAUGGAAAAGUAUUACACAGUAAAGAUAAAACUUGAGGCAAUUUUCUUUCUAGUAUUUUAGUAUUAUCAUACUUUGAUAUAAUGUUACAUAAAUGAGACUUUUGGAGAAGUAUCUUUCCAUGUACAUAAGAGGCAGAAUCCUGAAGACAUUAAUUCCUAUUAAAAAUCUUAAAAAAAAAAAGUGAGGUUAUCAACAGAAGGGUCUAAAGACAGCCAUAGCCUGACCAACAGUACAUAUAAAUUACCGAGUGAGCGCACUGCAUUGUAGCUUUGGCAGAGAGCUCAGAAUUCCUGAACCCUGGCCCAGGGGAUCAAAAGGCGAAGGUCUGAACAUCUGGCUGAUGGUGGGAGAGAAGACAGUUUAAGUUUCCAUUCUCUUCAAGCUGGCUAAUAUGUCAAGCUGCAUUUUCAGCACAGUAAUUGAUCUCUUGAUUAAAACAAAGUGUUCCAGAUUUAAAGGGGAAAAAAAGCACAAACCUCCAUAUAUAAAAGAGGAGACUGUUAAAAAAGUUUGGAACUCUCAAGGCAUUAAAUUCUUCUAUAUUUAACCACACUCAAUUUGAAAAUUCAAAUGAACUUUUCUGAGGUUGUGUGUAAUUUUUUUAUUUAAGCAUUUGAGGUAAAAUUCAUAGGUAUUCUUUGCCUCAAAAUCAUUCAAGAACUGUAUUAUUUUUGCAUACUAAAGUAGCUUUCAGUUUUCAUAAAUGGCACAGAGCUCAAAUUGAAUGUACAGUAGGGCAAUUUCACACCAUCUUUUUAUCAAUUUUUCAGUGGGUCAAUUUAACAGUAGGGGAGAAAAUAACACCUAUAAUGAAAAAAUCUAAUGGUAAUGAAAUAACCAUAGUCUUUCAUGUUUUCUUUUAUAACAUGUUGUGUGCGGCUACAGAAAGUGUUACUCUGUCAUUUGAGAAAUAACUGCAAAACAGAGGUGUCAAAAUAGUCACUGCCUAAAACAAAAUAAUAUCUAAUUUCCCUUCAUGCAAAAUAGACAAGAGCUGUAUGGAAUAUAAUAUCCUGUGCUGAGGAUGAAGGAUAAAAUGGGAUGGGAAAAGAAAGUAUCUAAAAAUCUUUAAAAAUAUAAUAAGAAUUAAAAGUAGAAGAGAGUUGGCAUACAAUAAAAUCCAAGUGGUAGACUAAUUACUAAGAGCACAGCUGGACAGCAAGAACAACAAAGAACUGCGUCUCUGACAUUCGUCAUAAAGCAAUGCUGUCAACAUUUUUUAUCCAAGGAUCCCAUGCUUUCUGAGAGAUGCCUUACCAUUACGAGAGGGCAACCAAAGCAGUGCAAGGCCCUUUGACUUCUCUAGGCUCACGUAACCAACCAGCUUAAGAAAAAAAAAAUCUGUCCCAUAACUCUUCUUGCCUACUCUUGUGGUCUCAGGAUGUGUGCCAUUCUACCCACCUUUCAACUCAUUUCAGUUUGUUUAAGCUCCCCUGUCAGGGCAGCCAGUGUGAAGUCUUUGGGGUAAGGAACUCCUGAAAGUGAGCUUCAGAGCCUCAAACACACUUCAGCAGUUAAAGACAGCCUUCAAUCCAAGAAAUGGAAAGCCUCACAAAUAAGAAUAAACCGUCACAAGAUGAAACUGAAAAUUUGGAACUCAAGUUUCUCGGCCUGUGAAUGGCAUGAAAACUCAACCUUCCUUAUCCUCAGAGACUCAUUUAUAUAGAUUUGGAAAAGUCAAGCCUUGGUUACACCUUCAGAGGGAGCAUUCCUCAACCCCUCCAGCCCCAGUUUCUGCUGUGUCCUUAUCCAUGCUUGGCUGCUGAAGAAAUCCCUGGACAAGUACAAUCACAGGGGGAGAACAUGUGCAACAGUGAGUUGUGCAGCACUAGCCAAUGCAGAUAAAUCACAAACUCCAGGUGGACAAAGUACUUGAGGCAAGACAGCCUCAAAUGAAGAGUGCUGUGACAAGGAUUUGGAGAGAGGUUCUAUGAAUUGUAUUAAAUUUUCAACAAAAGAUUAAAUGAUAUCUGUAUUCACUUAUAAUCUGACACCAAGAAUCUCCUUCUUAAGCUCCCUGUGUGGAAAUAGAAAUCUUCUGUGAGAUUAACUACUUAAGGAAGCCUGCUUUUUCCAAGAAGAACAGACUACUGCUCUAUCAGAUGCAAAGACAUCCUUGGCCACUCUCACUGCCUUAGACAUCAGGAGUCUCACAGCAGCUCUUGCAUGAUUAACAGAGCCAUAAGCAUUGCUGGUUUUCAGAUCACCCUUAAUUAACCCUGACUCCCUUUGCCACAUCUUUUACCUUUGUGAUCCACAGACAUCUUCAGAAGUAUCUUUAAAAGGUGACAGCUGCUAGUGUCCUUAUCCUCAAAAGAAUCUAAGCAGCUUCAUGGGGAUAUAUACAUUGUUUGGUCUUAUGAUGCCAAUGGUGUCAUUACCCCAGGACUGAAAUUCCCACAGCAAAAUAUGAUUUUAGGAGGAACCACUCUCAACAUCUGUAGGAUCUGUCUGUCACAGGGAUACAAAGCUGGUCAAGAUGCAGAGAACCACCUUUCCUCUCCCCAGUCUUCAUGGUAGUUGCUCAAAUAGGAAUAAGUUCACAGAUCUCUUCCACCUUGUCUUUAUGAAAGCACAAGAGAGCAGGAAAGAUUUUUUUUCACCUUGCCCAUAGCUGAAUAGAGACAAAACCAUCAGCUAGACCCAAGCAGCUCAAACCCAGCGCCCACAGCAAGAAUGCUGGCAUUUUUCUCAACAUAAGAAAGCACAACCUGUCAGAUUAAUAUUCAGACAAUACCUAUCCAGUGAAGCUAGGGACCAAGGGACACUUACCUAACAACUUCU